AUGUGGUUUAAUUCGAUGAUACGCGAGGAACUACCUGGGCUCGACGUAAGAUGACUGUAGGUGAAAGCUUACAUCUCUUCGGAGCAUUUUACGAGGUGCUGCAUGGUUGUCGUCAGCUCGUGCCGUGAGGUGUCGGGUUAAGUCCCAUAACGAGCGCAACCCUACCUUUAGUUGCCAUCAGGUAAUGCUGGGGACUCUAAAGGAACUGCCUACGCAAGUAGUGAGGAAGCGGGGAUGACGUCAAAUCAGCACGGCCCUUACGUCCAGGGCUACACACGUGCUACAAUGGCCGAUACAGAGGGCAGCUACCUGGUGACAGGAUGCAAAUCUCCAAAGUCGGUCUCAGUUCGGAUCGGAGUCUGCAACCCGACUCCGUGAAGUUGGAUUCGCUAGUAAUCGCGCAUCAGCCAUGGCGCGGUGAAUACGUUCCCGGGCCUU
rnacentral:rRNA from 1 species